GGCAGCCAUGUCAAAUUCAGUGCUUGUCUUCUCCGUGGUGGGCACUGGCCCAGCCGGCUGCCACAGCAACACCUGUCGCUCAUUGGACCCUGGGGAUAAAAUCAUGCUACAGACACCC